GCGGCACUGGGGCACUCCAGUUUCGGCUUGCUGGAAGCCUCUCAUUGCUCGUACUGCUUGACUGCUGAAGUUCAGUCUACUCGCCCAACUGUGUUGUAUCUGAAAGAUAUGAGGAGUGAUUCAGCAUUUAUCAAAGCUCUGUCGCAGGGUUUUGGUGUCUGUUGGCCACACUUUCAAAGGUGCCCGAGGGUGUAAUGAACUGCGAGUGCAAGUUGUGCGGUGCCCGAGGAGCUGAACGCUGGGCUGCUCCUUGAGCACAGUCUGAGUAAUGAGCACUUCUCUAUUGAGCGAAAGGACUCGGAGGGACAGAUUUCACCUUCUAUUUUACUGGAAUGUCAUUAGGUGCAGCUUUCCAGAGGAGCAGAGCCACUCAGAAGUUUAACUGUGAUGAUGAGUUACAGAUGCAAAGCGUGUCUAUAAAUCGGGCUAUAGGAGCUGGUCACGGGGAGCUGCAGGAAGAGAACCUCCAAGACAGACCCUGAUGUAUUUACUUUGUCACGUGAGAAGGGCUGUGCAGAAGCACUGGUCUGGCUCUCCUGCACCAGAAGGGUUCGCUGCCACCGGUCUUGGUUGUCGUGCAUUCACGCUCACUGCUGUCUCCAGUCUAAGGACAGACCCCAGAGCUGCUGUACCAUGAGUUCUGCCUCAACCCCUGCCAGAGCAGAGCUGUCAGGGAUGUGGGAUAUGGCCGAGCACAGUCCUGGGAGAAGAGUGUAUACUGUUCCUGUUUCGGACAGAGCAGAAAAUACCAGUAUCCCACCAGUGGAUGUACAGAUGACAUUCACAAAAGGCUCAGCACUCAGAACUCUUGCAGCGUAGGCCUGACCUGAGCACGCAGCGGGACCCUUCCACUGCCUCUGAAUGGAGCCCUGUGUCAGCGAUGCAUGGCGGGGCUAAUCAGGUAAUGCGAGGAAACAGCUGCGAAGCGCCCAGCCUUCGGGGUCUGUGUGUCUCACCCGUUUUGUGCCCCAUGAGCAAAACGUAUCCUUUAGUAACAGCUCCAAGUUACAUUUGCUAAAUAAACACUCUGCAGUUCUGCAGUUA